AACUGGGAUUAGAUACCCCACUAUGCUUAGCCCUAAACAUAGAUACUAACCUACUUAUUUUAUCCGCCUGGGAACUACGAGCGUCAGCUUAAAACCCAAAGGACUUGGCGGUGCUUUAGAUCCACCUAGAGGAGCCUGUUCUAGAACCGAUAAUCCCCGUUAAACCUCACCUUUCCUUGUUCUUAUUCCGCCUAUAUACCGCCGUCGUCAGCUUACUCUGUGAAGAUCCCAUAGUAGGCACAAUCGGUACAGCCCAAAACGCCAGGUCGAGGUGUAGCGUAUGGAAAGGGAAGAAAUGGGCUACAUUCAGUAAUUUAAUGAAUACGGAUGACAUCCUGAAAAAAAUGUCUGAAGGAGGAUUUAGCAGUAAGUGGAGAAUAGAGUGCUCUACUGAAUCUGGCCCUGAAGCGCGCACACACCGCCCGUCACUCUCCCCGAGCUAAUAAAAGCACAUAAUUAAUAAACGAGACCUGCAAAGGGGAGGCAAGUCGUAACAUGGUAAGUGUACCGGAAGGUGCACUUGGGAGAACUCUGGGUAUAGCUUAACAGCAAAGCAUCUCCUUUACACCGAGAUGAUACUCGUGCAAAUCGAGUUACCUUGAAGCCUAACAGCUAGCCCAACCCCCUGAAUACAAUUAAUCAAAUUCAACUAACCCCAAACGCAGAAUAUUAAUAAAACAAACCAUUUUUCCGUCCUAGUAUAGGAGAUAGAAAAGAAACUCGGAGCAAUAGAGAUAGUACCGCAAGGGAAAGCUGAAAAAGAAAUGAAAUAACCCA
rnacentral:rRNA from 1 species